AACCCUAGGACCCAAAACACAAACAGCCGCCGCCACCCUGCUCUCCAAAACCUAUUGCCGUCGCCGCACAACCUUCCCCAGUUGCAGGAAAUCACAUAGACUCACCACCCCUCAGCCGUCGCCCACCCUAACCACCCCAGAACCACCUCAGAAAACCUUUCUCCUCCAUCACCAAGACAGCACCCGUGACCUUCUUCCAAAAACAAGACAACAAGACCAUCUUCUUCCUCAUGAACCUUGGAGUAACAACAAUGGAGGAAAAAGCCUAAAAAGACAUUGAACUAAACCCUUGAACCGGAGCUACUAGUCUUCUUCUUUCUUCACAUUAACCUUAGAACCUUAGAACUUGAAGACCAUAUCCAUGGCUUCCUCCUUCCUCGGCCUUGAACGAAAACAAAAGCCCUAAGACCCUUCUCCUUCAGCGAGCAAAAACAGCCCUCCUACCGCCACAACCAUCUUCAGUAGCCACCGCCGAACAUAAACCAGAACUCGAUCUCCAUCCGCUUUUGCUUCUUCACCGUCCCUCCAAACCGUCAUCAGAACGACGGAUCUCCAUACUAUCGUGAAGACAACACCAGCUACUCCCAGAUCUUCUUCUUCGCGGAUAGGUAGAAGCAGCAAUUAGAGCCCCCUGAACUCUUCCAUCAACAACGAAAAUCCCAGCAAUCCAAUGUUGGCGGUGGACUACUAUGGUUUAAUAUUGAAAUUCUUGCAUCAGAUCUUUAAGUUUGAAUUUCGGAACAUUGGUGUUCGAGUCGUGGAGUCCGAUUAAGAAGUUGAUGUUCGAGGUUGGAGGUUGCAGCCACUGUUCCCAUUUUGUAGCUAUUUUUUUAUCAGAUUUCGUCAUUCGACAUUCUUCGUGACACAUCUGAGCAG
rnacentral:lncRNA from 1 species